rnacentral:lncRNA from 1 species
CCUCCCAGAGGCCGUUUGUCCAAGUCACGUGAUCGUCGAAUCUGUUGACCUGGCGCCACCGGAAAAAGAAAUUCCCGGGCCCUGGCUUCUUGGCCUGAUGGGGAGAAGGCAGAGCUGGUGCUGUAUGAAGUUUGGCUGCAGAUCCUGGGCCAGCCCUACACCAAGGCCUUGGAGGACAAAACCAGCCUUGAGUUCUGGGCACUUCAGGGGCAACCGACAAGAUGGGUGAAGUGGCGGGAUGAAGUGGGGGGGCGGGGAAGAAGCCUCGGGAAGAUGGGGGAUGACUGGACAAGACUUUGGUAGAGCUGUGACCCUCUUCAUCCUCUCCUGACCCCCCAGCUGACCCUCGUCCUCAGAUCUCUGCAGAACUUUGACCAGUGGUGGUGGAGGAAUUCCGGUGGGUCCAGGGUGGCCCUGGGUGACCCAGGGCUCAGACCUGGGUUCUGGGGUUGAAGGCAGGAGGCUGGAAGAGAUGACCUCCCUUAGGCCCCCCAGGCUGCCCAGCCCCCUGAAGUGGGAUGAUCCUCCCACCAGGCUGGACCCACUGACCGUCAGAGUGGGUGCCACCUUCUUCAGGGCGGCAUCAGCCCAGGCUCUCGUGUGGGUCUGCACACCCUGGGGGAGGCAGAGGGCCUCUUGGUAGACACGGUCAUCUCAGACCUCGGUCAGUACCUCCUUCCCUCUGCAGGCCCCCUCCCUCUGUCCAUCUGCCUCCUCCCUUGGGCUUGCUGCCUCUACAUGCCCUGAUCUGAAACCUGCCUCCCCUCCUCAUGGAGCCCUCCAAGAUGCUCCUAGCCCCAGCUCUCUGGUCCCGCAGCAACUUCUGGUGCCAGAUUCUGCCUUCUCAGAAGUCUGGGAGGCAGGGCCCCACCUGGCCAUAGCCUUCUUGGUCUGCUCUAGGCACUGCUAGCCUUGAAGCCUCCAGCCUGCUGGAUGCCUCCAUCCCCGGCUAUGCUGUGGCUCUCCUCAUUCUAGGCCUCCUGCUCGUCACAUUCACCCUUGUCCUGGUGCUAAAGUGGAGGGCCUCCCAUGGGGUGUUCAGCCUGGGUGUGUAGAAGCACACAGUGUGGUACAGAGGACCCUCUCCAGACAGGUGACCCCUCAUGCUGCUGCUCCCUCUGCUGAAACCCAAACUGCAAACCUCUCCUCUCCCUGCCUUCACCUUGCCCCACGGCUUCCACAGACAGUGCCUCAACCCCGAGGAAUGAAUCCGAAGUUCCAACACCACUGACUUUCCCAGGAACUCAGAGCCAGAGAGGGCCAAGGACCAGCUCGAGGACACACAGCCAGGGCUUCUUCCCUCCGAAACCCCCAAGGACUGGACUUGCAGGGCUGGGACAGAGGUGGGGUGGGGGAAAGCAAUGCCUUGUCAACCCACGUGGGGAGCCCCACUCCCAUCCCCAAGGUGCAUAAAGUUGAGGAACACCCCUGCUCCCACGUCCAUGCUCAUUCAGGGCCCUGCUCCAA